CCUACGGGAGGCAGCAGUGGGGAAUUUUUCGCAAUGGGGGCAACCCUGACGAAGCAAUGCCGCGUGGAUGAAGAAGGCCUUCGGGUUGUAAAGUCCUUUCGUGGGGGACGAAAAGGCGGAUCCGAAUACGGUCUGCUAUUGACGUGAACCCAAGAAGAAGCACCGGCUAACUCCGUGCCAGCAGCCGCGGUAAUACGGAGGGUGCGAGCGUUAAUCGGAAUUACUGGGCGUAAAGGGCGCGUAGGCGGUGGGUUACGUCUGCCGUGAAAUCCCCGGGCUCAACCUGGGAAUGGCGGUGGAAACGGGCUGACUGGAGUAUGGGAGAGGGUGAUGGAAUUCCAGGUGUAGCGGUGAAAUGCGUAGAGAUCUGGAGGAACACCAGUGGCGAAGGCGGUCACCUGGCCCAAUACUGACGCUGAGGCGCGAAAGCGUGGGGAGCAAACAGGAUUAGAUACCCUGGUAGUCCACGCCCUAAACGAUGGAUACUGGAUGUUUGGCGCCUUAAGUGCUGAGUGUCGUAACUAACGCGAUAAGUAUCCGCCUGGGGAAGUACGGCCGCAAGGUUAAAACUCAAAGGAAUUGACGG
rnacentral:rRNA from 1 species